rnacentral:rRNA from 1 species
GAUGAACGCUGGCGGCGUGCCUAAUACAUGCAAGUCGAGCGAACAGACGAGGAGCUUGCUCCUCUGACGUUAGCGGCGGACGGGUGAGUAACACGUGGAUAACCUACCUAUAAGACUGGGAUAACUUCGGGAAACCGGAGCUAAUACCGGAUAAUAUAUUGAACCGCAUGGUUCAAUAGUGAAAGACUGUUUUGCUGUCACUUAUAGAUGGAUCCGCGCCGCAUUAGCUAGUUGGUAAGGUAACGGCUUACCAAGGCAACGAUGCGUAGCCGACCUGAGAGGGUGAUCGGCCACACUGGAACUGAGACACGGUCCAGACUCCUACGGGAGGCAGCAGUAGGGAAUCUUCCGCAAUGGGCGAAAGCCUGACGGAGCAACGCCGCGUGAGUGAUGGAGGUCUUCGGAUCGUAAAACUCUGUUAUUAGGGAAGAACAAAUGUGUAAGUAACUAUGCACGUCUUGACGGUACCUAAUCAGAAAGCCACGGCUAACUACGUG